rnacentral:rRNA from 1 species
AUGUUCACCAGCAACUUUUGGCAGGCCUUGGUGAGAAGAACAGGGGUUGUACUUAACAUGAGCAUGGCAUAUCACCCAGAAACAGAUGGACAGACAGAGCGUGUCAACCAUCAAGUGGAGUGUUUCUUGAGGUGUUUUAUCAGCGCUCACCCAAAGAAGUGGUUUAAAUGGCUUUCUCUUUGUGAAUUCUGGUACAAUACAAAUUGGCAUUCAUCACUCGACAAAUCACCCUUUGAGGUUCUUUAUGGCCAUGGUCCGAGGCACUUUGGCAUUUCAGCUUCGGAUGUAGUUGAUCCUAUUGAUCUGCAGCAGUGGUUGGAUGCCAGAGAAGUCACUCAGCAAUCUGUUCCCCAACACUUGUUGCGUGUUCAGCAGAGAAUGAAACACCAAGCUGACAAGAAGCGCACGAAAAGGUCAUUUGCUGUGGGCAAUUGA